GACAGAGGGUGCAAACGUUGUUCGGAAUUACUGGGCGUAAAGCGCGUGUAGGCUGCUCGGAAAGUCGGAUGUGAAAGCCCCGGGCUCAACCUGGGAAUUGCAUUUGAGACUGAAUAGCUAGGGUGCGGAAGAGGGAAGCGGAAUUUCCGGUGUAGCGGUGAAAUGCGUAGAUAUCGGAAGGAACACCAGUGGCGAAAGCGGCUUCCUGGUCCAGCACCGACGUUCAGGCACGAAAGCGUGGGGAGCAAACAGG
rnacentral:rRNA from 1 species